GGAGAUUUAGCUCAGUGGUAGAGUGCUUGCCUAGCAAGCGCAAGGCCCUGGGUUUGGUCCCCAGCUCCA
rfam:Rattus norvegicus chromosome 3, whole genome shotgun sequence.